GCGGCAUUUGGAGGUUCCUAGGCCAGGGGUCUAAUUGGAGCUAUAGCUGCCGGCCUACACCAGAGCCACAGCAACGCCAGAUCCGAGCCGCAUCUGCAACCUACACUAUAGCAACCACAGCAAUGCAGGAUUCAAGCUGCAUCUGUGACCCAUAUCACAGCUCACAGCAACGUCAGAUCCUUAACCCACUGAGCGAGGCCAGGGAUUGAACCCGCAACCUCAUGGUUCCUAGUCGGAUUCGUUUCUGCUGCAUUCUCUCACCCUCCCUCCCUUGUGUGGCUUCAGUGUCCUUGGCACAGUGCAACCAAGAGCUCAAGUCAUGGAGGUGGGGUGAAAAGCCCUAGUCCAUGGCCAGAUGUGGUGGUGGGAUGGAGAUGCCUGCUUGACUAGAAUAGUAAUUGGCUGAGCCCUUUGCAUGCUCUGAACUGAAUUCCAAGGAGUAAGUGCCUGGGAUAGGGCUCAUACAGCAGGUAACAAGUGCUCAGUACCUUUGGGGAGCUCCCUGUGCUAGGAAACUCCUUCCUGCAAGAUGUCCCCUCACAAGUUUCUGCUGCCUGCUUAGAAAGAAGAAAGGGCCUUUCUUUUUUCUAAGAUAUGCCUUUUUGAGUUACUGCUUUCAGAGCAUUCUGUGAUUCUGGUUGAUAAUAAAAUGCACAGUCCUUAGUAAUUUCUUAUUUUUGCUUAGUCUCCACUUUCUUCCUGUCUUUUCCUUUUCCUGUAAUGAUAGCUUUUAUUUUUUUCUUUCACCUGCAGCAUGUGGAAGUUCCCAGGCUAGGGGGUGAAUUGAAGCUGCAGCUGUCAGCCUACGCCGUAGCCUCAGCAACACUGUAUCUGAGCUACAUCUUCGACCUACACUGCGGUUUAACCCACUGAGUGAGGCCAGGGAUUGAAUCCCCAUCCUCACAGACACCAUGUCAGGUUCUUAACCCACUGAGCCACAAUAGGAACUCUGUGAUAGCUAUAUUUUUUUAAGAAAUACUUACUCUGCUAAUGCAGUUAUUCACAAACAGGUCUAUAGGGUAAGUGGGAACAUCCCCUUUUAUAGAUGAGGAAUUUGAAACUCAAACAAGACCAGUAACUUGCCCAGAAUAUUUCUCCUAAUACAUGUUGAAGCUGAGGUUUGGUGCCAUGUAGGGCUGACCUCAGAUGCUUUCUGCUCUGCAGCGUGCUACUCCAGAGAUGCUGUGAAGAAGUGCUUUGCUGUGUGUCUUACAUAAGACAUGGCCAGCUUUGCAGACUUGGAAAGGCACGGUGGAUGGAAGCGGGUGGACCAUGCUGUAAAUAUCUUCUAAACCUCUGUCUCACAGACACGUGCCUUUGAUCUUGCAGCAAUGUGUUGCUUGCAUUCUGAACAUUUGAGGGUUGCUUUUGGAGGCAGUGGUGUGUUCCCAAACCUAAUGCCUGUAGCACCAUGUGAGAAGUGCGUUCUGUAUCAGCCGGAGUGGAAUCUUCCUCGGGCACCUAUGGAUGGGGUUCCACUGGGUUCUCAUAAAUAAAAACCUUGGUAGCAGCAGCAGAUAUGCCUGGGGCGCUAGUGAUUCUCAGGUGGCAACAGGCAAGCCCAUUGGAGAUGACAGGGGUGCAACAGGAAGGGACACAGUUUGGGGGUCAACAGGGACUUUGUAGACUUGCCCUCAGCAUGGCGUCCAUCACCCCUGCCCCUCACAGUGCAGACACACAUCUGUCUUGGUGUCUGGGAACAACUGAUUUUGCUCUUCUGAUAUGAGCCCCUGGAGAGCCUGGCCAUGCAAUGAAGUAGAAAAGGAAUACUUUUUGGUGAUGUGUAUUGUUUUUCAAACCUGAACUGAGGCUCUCCUGCUGCUUUGAUUCCCCACCUGGCUAUGGAAUGUAUUUUCUAGCACUUAGUGCACACUCUUUUUCUCUUGGGUCCCCCCACCCCCACCCACAUUUCUUUGCUCUUGACCUCCUGGAAUGAGAUUGAGAGAACAAAGCAGCAGCAGAAAACUAUGCUGCUUCCUUUUGGACAAAAGCCGGUUGGACGUGAAAAAUCUUGCUGCCCUCUGCUCUCUGGCUCUCUGUUUUUCCUCCAGUAUUUAUAAAUAUUUGCUUUCAAACUGAUUUUAUUUUCCUCUCUCCUCUGGAACGGGGCCAGAGGAGAGUAGGUGGGAAGACAGAGCCCUGCUGUGGAGCCAGCAGGAAGUAGGCAGGCCUGUGUUUGUCCUGGAGCCUGUGCUGAAAAGAGUUGGGGAAGACACCAUGGGCUGCAGGGUGGCCUUAUGCAGCCUGCUGCCUGGCCACAAACAGAGUGCUUUCAUGUCCCUGAUCUUGCCUAGUCCUUGAAAGAGCCUUGUGACGAAGCAGGGAUUAUUAUCCCCCUAGGCAGUCAAGGAAAUUGAGGCUCAGAGAAGUUACCAGAUCCUCCCAAAGCCAUAGUUGAUGGCAGAACAGAGACCCCAGAGGGUGCCCCAUCUUUGGUCCGCUUUGUGACACUGCAUUUCCUGGGGUGGUUUGGGUGGUUCCUCCUGUAACUGUUCGUGCUGUUUCCAUCAGCCAGGCCUGCUCCUUUUCUGGUUCCACUCUUUCUACAUCAUUGUACCUUCUGCCUGGUCUCCCUCCGGAAAGCUUCCUCUUGGUUUUGUAGGAUCUCCAUCAGUCCUUCACCUGCCCUUUGGUUCUCCUUGCUAUCUGACCAUCAGAAUGCCCUAUCUUGAUUGGCAUUGUGGGACCUCCAAAGUCACUUCCAAAGGAAGUCUAUUUGGGUUUGCCUUUCUGUUUUUCACCUAGGUCUGUCUGGUUCACUCUGGCUCUUGCUCUGGAAACCUCCAAACCAAAGGCAGUGGUCCACUGCUUGUCUUCUUGCUUGUGGCUAAUAGCUAACUCCUUUUUCCUACUGCAGCUGAGACCUUAGACUGGCAAGACUUUUCUUCCGAGCUAGGGAGGUAUGAAUAGGCCUCAUGGGGCCAGAGUGAGGGGCCAGUAUUACUGGAUCUUUUCUAGGCUGUCUUCUGCUGAGGCCCCUAACCUGUCUUUAGCCAGGAGUGGAAAGUAUAUGCUACUCUCUGGCUUGUGUGGGUUCCUUUGCAUCUCAGAUGCCAGCAGACAGUCCAGCUCUCAGAAGGGAUCUGGAAAGGGGCCUGAAGGAGGUUGAGAGUCUCUAAUGCUUCUUCUCCUUAGAGCUGAUGUGAGGCCAGCCUGGUCACUAGGAACUUCAGCCAUCUUGGAGUAAUAGACCUAAAAGCCUGAUCCCAGUGGGCCCCUUCAGAGGCUGGACUUGACUUUGUGGGACAUGAGGUUAGGAUGUCACCAGGCCUACAUAAUGUAGUGGUGGUGAAUGUGGGCUUUGAGGUCAGACAGGUCUAGGGGUGAGUUGUGGCUUAAUCACAUACUAGUGUCAUGUUGAAUGAGUUACUUCUGGUCCUCACAUCGCUCAUCUCUUUAAAGAUAAUNNNNNNNNNNNNNNNNNNNNNNNNNNNNNCCUGCUGGAUCAGCGCAGGAUGUCAGUGAGAAAUGUAUCUCAUGCUUAGCACGGAGAGCAGCAUAGGCAGCAUAGGUAAGUUAAAUCUUAGUAAAAGUAUUAUCAUUUAAUCACAGAAAUAACUGAUAACCAUUUAAGGCAGCAGAGUGAAUGUCUCUGCCCUCUGAUUUAUCUACAAAAAUUUAUUUGGUAGUAUGCGUCCUGCAUUGUAGACAUGACCAUGCACCAUCUCAUUGAAUAUCCACAAUAACUUUGCCAGACCAGCCGUCUUAUCUCUGUUAUUUGAGAAGGAAUGGGUAAUGUGUCUAUACCAGAUCUCACCAGAAGAGGGCACCAGUUCUUGCAUAAAAGCUCCUUUGCUCCAACUCUCCAGGCCUGUGGCCGGUUUGCUCAGACAGUUCCAGUGUGGACCCGUCAGCAGCUUGUGGGCGAUCCCUCCUUCCAGACAGGAUCUAACAGACUCCUCAGGUUUUCCUUCUGCCGCUUUACCCUUUAGUUGCUUCCCUACUUGUUUUGUCUGCUGGACUGUGGGAGGAAGAAAUGCAUUUCAGAUCUGCCGAAAGCUGUUACCAGGCAACAGUACUGGUUAAAAGCAACCGAGGGGGUGCGAUGAGGAGUGGAGAGUUAAGGUUUUAGACCCUGGGGCUGUUUCCCCACUCCCCUGCCUUCCCUCCUAUCUGUUUGCUGCUGGGGGAGGAAGAGAUGGUUGUGUUUUGGAAUAAAGGGGACCUCGAGGUGACCCUUUUGUAGAGGGGACAUGUACUCAUGUGCAAAGCUCUGCUUCCAGCAGCUGGGUGGGAACACUGGUCCAAAAGCUCUUCCCUGCGUGUGCUGGCCUGUGACCACUGAACUGGGAACAGUGCUGGUCCCCAGACCUGGAGGGCUGGCUUCCAGUCCUCUCCUCCCCAGCCUCAGAGAUUGCUUGUUUCACAUUGCUGCAGUGGGGUUAGGGGGUCCCUUUCCUAACUCGCUGCCUCCCAUCUCCUCCUGUCUCACUGUCUGAGAGGCUCCCCUUUUGCUGAUGUGCUCAGGGGAAACUCUGGUUUUCCAGCUUUUCUGCAUGGUUGUACCUGUGGCUACUGCUGUUGAGACCCGGCCUGAGGCCCCCUCUGUCACUCCCACAGAUAGGCUGUCUUGUCCCUGAGAAGGACCAGACCCUCCCCAGCUGACUCUUCUCACCGAGUUGAUUAUCUCAAUGCUUGGAGCUUGUGUCCAUCACUUUUGUGUGGUGACUUUGUGGGUCAUCCACCUUCAUGCCAUAUCCCUUCCACCCUAACUCAGGGAGCAGGAAAUACAGUCAUGGUAUACAUCUAAAUAAAAUUGCUUUUGGAACUUCUGUUAGAAAAUAUAGUUAAGCAGUGGUCCAUCCCUUAAAAAAAGGAGGUGGGGGUACUGGUUUGGCUGCUUUGCUUUUGAUAAUCCAUUGGAGUCACAAGCAUUGCAACAUGAGUAAUGAGACUUAGUGGAAUAAAUUCAGAAACGGAACUGCAGUCCUUGGCUGUGGAUCCCCUUUUCUUUCUUUUUUCUUUCUUCUUCUUCUUUCUUUUUUUUUUGUCUUUUUAGGGCUGCAUCUGCGGCACAUGGAGGUUCCCAGGCUAGGGGUCAAAUCGGAGCUGCAGCUGCCGGCCUACACCAUAGCCACAGCAACACGGGAUUCGAGCCUCGUUUGCGACCUACACCACAGCUCAGGGCAACGCCGGAUUCUUAACCCAUUGAGCGAGGCCAGGGAUCAAACCUGCAACCUCCUGGUUCCUAGUCAGAUUUGUUUCUGCUGUGCCACAAGGGGAACUCUGCUGUGGAUCCCUUUUUCUAUGGGGCCAUCUCCAUAGAAGGCUCUCUUCUCUUCUCUCAGAUAACUUUUCUUUUUGACUGCACCCAUGUCAUGUGGAAGUUCCCAGGCCAGGGCUCAAACCUGUACCAGAACAGUGGCCUGAGCUGCUUCAGUGACAACUCCAGAUCCUUAACCCAUUGAGCUACCAGGAAACUCCUCCUCAGAUAACUUCUGGCUUGAGUCUGCUGCAGGGUAACAGGCACUUCAAAAUUCACAUGUU
ensembl:lncRNA